UUUAAUAAAAUCUUUGUAAUAGUAGGAUGAGUAUAAAUUCUUAUUUGCAAGUCCAAAUGUUUCACAUGUAUACAAAGAGGGGAAAAGGCACUUCAAAUAGAAACAACGCAGAGGUUUGAAGUUACCUUCCAUUGGGAGAGUUCCAGUGAUUUGAUUACCUCUUAUAUCCAAUGUUUCCAAAUUUUUCAAAUAAGUUAAUUCCUUAAUUGGAAAUAAACCAUCCAUGCCAAUGACUUGAAGAAUCAAAGUCUUAAGUGGUACAAGAACAUUUACAAAUGAUAAAAUACUAUUGUUGAAGCGAUUGCGACUCAUAUCUAAGACUUGCAACUUCUUUAAGGUUAAUGCGGCUCUUUCAAAACCUGCUUGGUCAAUCCAACCAUUAAACCAAUUAGAAGAUAAAUCAAGGCUGAGCAGUUCUUCAAAACGAUAAAGCAUGGAGAGAUUUAGACUGCAAGCAUUUCUACUUUCAGGACGUGAAUACUUUACGACCCCAUCGAGAGAGAGAUCAACGACACGCCGGGAGGUG
rnacentral:misc_RNA from 1 species